rnacentral:tRNA from 1 species
CGGGAUAGCUCAGUUGGUAGAGCAGAGGACUGAAAAUCCUCGUGUCC